AGGCUUAACACAUGCAAGUCGAGGGGAAACGACGGGGAAGCUUGCUUCCCCGGGCGUCGACCGGCGCACGGGUGAGUAACGCGUAUCCAACCUGCCUCUGACUGAGGGAUAACCCGUCGAAAGUCGGCCUAAUACCUCAUGGCAUCGUCUGCGGGCAUCCAACGACGAUUAAAGAUUUCAUCGGUCAGGGAUGGGGAUGCGUCUGAUUAGCUAGUUGGCGGGGUAACGGCCCACCAAGGCUACGAUCAGUAGGGGUUCUGAGAGGAAGGUCCCCCACAUUGGAACUGAGACACGGUCCAAACUCCUACGGGAGGCAGCAGUGAGGAAUAUUGGUCAAUGGGCGAGAGCCUGAACCAGCCAAGUAGCGUGCAGGAAGACGGCCCUAUGGGUUGUAAACUGCUUUUAUGCGGGGAUAAAGUGAGGGACGUGUCCUUCAUUGCAGGUACCGCAUGAAUAAGGACCGGCUAAUUCCGUGCCAGCAGCCGCGGUAAUACGGAAGGUCCGGGCGUUAUCCGGAUUUAUUGGGUUUAAAGGGAGCGUAGGCCGUGGAUUAAGCGUGUUGUGAAAUGCAGGUGCUCAACGUCUGCACUGCAGCGCGAACUGGUCCACUAGAGUGUGCACAACGCAGGCGGAAUUCGUCGUGUAGCGGUGAAAUGCUU
rnacentral:rRNA from 1 species